UCUGACAGUGUUGCACUACUGUUUGCACCAAAGAAGCAGUGCAAUAAUAUUGUCAAAGC
rnacentral:pre_miRNA from 1 species